UACAGUCAUUCAUCCGUGGACUUAAACCUUCAGGACAAAUGUCUUGAUGUUUGUUCAGUUUUAUUCUGUGCCAUAUGUCUGCACAUGAAAUCCUACAUUCAUCUUUUCAUGUUGCCCAUGACUUUUAGAGGGGACUGAUUAGCACUUAUUUAGGGUGUCCCGUUCACGGUCAAAGACAUUUGAUUUCUCCCGUGGCAAAGACAUAUCGGUCAUUCAGGUGGAAGUCAUGGGAUCAUGUUGUUUCUUUAAUGUAAAAUUAUCUUAUUUGAUAAGGGUCAUUGAAAGCAUUUAGCAGAUUAUGUCGUUGUAAUUGUCUGCUUUUAUUUGCUUUAAUGUUCAACGAAGACGGCCCCAUCUUGCUGUUUUGAUUAGACGAUAUGAGGUGGAUUUGAUAGCGUAAUUCCAGAAGGACGACGCCGAAAUCCGAUUAGAGAUGAUCUGCCAUGAUGCAGGUGGUUGUAAAGAUAAAAUUAUCUUGCCUUGACGCGAACGAGAGACAGACAAACACUUUGAUGUUCCUCGUUGAUGAACCAAGGUCUGGCCAUUCAAACGACAAUCCAAGAAGACUAUUCAUCGUAUGGCCUUCCAAGGAGCCCUCCGAUGCAUUUGGUUGAGAUGACUCCAAGAGCGAAUUGACCUGUUCUCCUCCAAUCAAUUCCAUGGUCUCGAGCCCCUCUGCUCAGUUUCAUUCAAUACGAUUUGAUUUUCGGGGCGACUAUUUCUUCGUGGUCAGCAUGAUUCCUUCAGAUAUGUCAACGACAUCACAAGUUGUUAAUUCACAUUCCUCCAUUCAUCAUUAGGUAAAAUAGGAGGAAAAUGGGAAGUGAUGAAUCGGGUGAGGUUGGUUGUAGAAUUGGAGCUGUCAAAUCAAAGGGGCGCAUCCGUGAACUUGUGGGGAACGAAUGUCUCUCCUUUUUAACUUUAAAUUUUCCACGCAGAUUUUUGUUCUGGUUCCAGAUUGGAGAAAAUUGUUUAAAUGAAAUUAUUACAUCUUUGUA